AUAGAGAGAGACACUGAUGAACUGGGGAGCCAUGCUCUAACAACGUUCAGAGGCUUGUAACAGUCUACUGAGUCUGACACGGUGCUUAAAUGGGCUCUGGAGACGCAGGAAUGUUGUUGGAUUCAACUAUUUGUGCAUGGAAGCAAAAAAAUAUCUCCCCAUCAAGGCCAACAGCAGAAUAGACUGAUAUGAAUGCUUCAAAUAUUAAAACCCGAUUGAUUAGGCCUAUGCCGACAUAAUAUCAGUCCUAAUCCUGAACGCACCGUGCGUACAUUUUUCACGGCAUUUUCCCCCAGACAGACAGACAGACAGACAGACAGACAGACAGACAGACAGACAGACAGACAGACAGACAGACAGACAGACAGACAGACACUUUAUUUACCCCAAACUAACUUUCAUAAUCCAGCAGGUUACACAAUACAAAUAACUCUUACACAAAUACAGACAGCCUAUACAGUAGGCUAAUACAGCGCCCACCUCAGCAAAAGGUAAAAUGUAAAAAGAAGAUAUAAGCUACAUUUAAAAUACAGAUGCUGUAGCCUACAUAAAAAUACAGAUGCCACAUGAAAUAUGAAAAUAGGAUGCAAUGUAUAAAUAUGCAAAACUAGGAUAUAACUAGGCUAUAAUGAGAAUAUUUGGUUAACUUACAUCUGUGCAAUGACUAUCCUCCUAAAUUAAAUUAGUUAGAUGGAAAGAUUUUUGUCUAUGGAAUGAUCCUGUCACUUUACUGCCACACAUUGUGUGUGUCAGUAAAGUGAUGAGGUAGGAGAAUCCGUGUAUGGAUUGUUUUUUGGUUUUUCAGAUUUGGUUUUGAAACUGAAAAAGGGCAAAAGGAAUAAACAAAUAAACGGCAUUUGAUUUUG